rnacentral:snRNA from 1 species
GGAUGUGAGGGCAAUCUGGCUGCGACAUGUGGCACCCCGUUGAUCGCCAAGGAUUCAGCUGAUCUGGCUGGCUGGGUGGGCGUCCCCUUCCUCCCUCACUGCUCCAGAUGUGUCCCUCCUGAAGCUGCACGGUUAGUCAGAGAAGACGACCUGCACUGAUAGAGGAGGACCAUUCUUCGGUCAAGGGUAUAGGAGUAGCUGUGCUUCUGUGCCAGAACCUCCAGACAAGCUCGCAAGGUCCAUUUGGAGGAGAACAUAGGGUAGUCAGGCUUCCCAGACUCAUCCAAAUGUGGCGCCGCAUGUGGCAGUCUGCCUUUCUUA